rnacentral:rRNA from 1 species
UACGAAGGGUGCAAGCGUUAAUCGGAAUUACUGGGCGUAAAGCGUGCGUAGGCGGCCAACUAAGUCAGACGUGAAAUCCCUCAGCUUAACUGGGGAACUGCGUCUGAUACUGGAUGGCUUGGAUUCGGGAGAGGAAUGCGGAAUUCCGAGGUGUAGCGGUGAAAUGCGUAGAUAUCGGAGGAACACCGGUGGCGAAGGCGGCAUCCUGGACCAAUAUUGACGCUGAGGAGCGAAAGCCAGGGGAGCAAACGGG